UAACAGCACUCUGGAGAGACCUGGCACCGCCUUGCGGGCAGCCCAGGCGCCGAAGGUGCAAACCCGCUGCCACAUGGCGGGGCAACUCUCAGGCAAAAGGACAGAGGGGCGGAA
rnacentral:ncRNA from 1 species